AGUGAACGCUGGCGGUAGGCCUAACACAUGCAAGUCGAACGGCAGCACAGUAAGAGCUUGCUCUUACGGGUGGCGAGUGGCGGACGGGGGAGGAAUACAUCGGAAGCUACUUGUUCGUGGGGGAGAACGUAGGGAAACUUACGCUAAUACCGCAUACGACCUACGGGUGAAAGCAGGGGAUCUUCGGACCUUGCGCGAGUGAAUGAGCCGAUGUCGGGUUAGCUAGUUGGCGGGGUAAAGGCCCACCAAGGCGACGAUCCGUAGCUGGUCUGAGAGGAUGAUCAGCCACACUGGAACUGAGACACGGUCCAGACUCCUACGGGAGGCAGCAGUGGGGAAUAUUGGACAAUGGGCGCAAGCCUGAUCCAGCCAUGCCGCGUGGGUGAAGAAGGCCUUCGGGUUGUAAAGCCCUUUUGUUGGGAAAGAAAAGCAGCAGGUUAAUACCUCGCUGUUCUGACGGUACCCACAGAAUAAGCACCGGCUAACUUCGUG
rnacentral:rRNA from 1 species